UGUGUUCCACUUAUCUACCAAAUCUAAUCCAAUGUUACAUGUCAAAAGAAAUACAUAAUAAGAAUGUAAGUACUUCUUUAAAUAUGCCGGAGAUUUUUGCGAAUCUAUGUGCAUUACGAAUUGAUACAUUUCAUAUAAUAGUUUGGUGUAGCCCGUUGUAGUAUUAUACCAUGUUAAGUAAUAGUAGCAAUAGUAGCAAGAUGGAGGAUUUGAUACAUAAGACGAAUAUUACUUUCUACGUUCUAUUUAAUGGAAUCAGACGGGCCUGAUCUGCUUGCUGGAAAGCAUUUACCUAGAACAAUAACAUAUUUUCCACAAUUCGCUUUUCUACACAUUUGUUGGUGUUGGUUGAUUCUUCCGAAAAGGUGAAGAGAUGAUAUAAUUUUUAACGAGUUCCCAUCAUCCGUUCCAAACUGCAUGUAUGUACAUAUGUAUGUAAGUAUGUAUCUGAGAACGAACUAACGGGAAUAUUCAAUGAACCACCUUUCUUUCGGGGCUUUGAGUAAUAAUACCAAACUGUUGCUUAACUCAAAUGAAAUAGCUAGGGGCUCAUGGAAAUCCACACGUUCCUUUAAUUAAAAAUGGCUGGAUGCUAGAGGGCUACUGAGCAGUAGUUGAUAUUGGCCAUUGCAUGCAUAUCGAUCGUGACUGCAUUUGUUUCAGAUUGCGCUUUUUAACUACUAGCUAUUGUAUUUUGAGCUGCUUGUAUUUUUUUAUAAUGAAAUGAUAAUGAAAUUGCAUGAAAACAAGGUGUAUAUCAGAAAUUCGUGAAUUAACUACAAAUUGGAAAGGGAAUUAGUAUAUUUAAAAUUAAAAUAAUUUUUAAAAUUUUACGAUUAGUCAAAAUGUUGUGUUAAUAUAAUAUAAUUUUAGUAAACAACUUAAUAUUGUAAAUUUGUUCAUGUUUUAAACUUUUUUGUUGUUGAAUUGUGCAAGCGAGAAAAGGUUUGUUGCUGCCGCUUUAUAUGCUAAUGGAACGAUUCAGUUAUGAUCAGAUGUUAAGAAAAUGUAUAAUUACGCAUACAUAAGUACUACAAUUUUAUAACCACAAAAUAAAAAUUAAAGAAAUCAAGACUUUUCACGCCGUACUCCUUGCAAUGCCAAACCCGAUGCAUAUGUAUCAGGAAAGCAGAGCAAAUCUGUUUCAAUUUAAAUGUCAUGAGCACGGCGUGAAAAUUCUCAAAAAAAGCUUAUAUAAUGUACAGUACUUUAAUACAAAUUAUAUAUGUACAUACAUACGUGCAUACGUAAUAUUUAUGUUAUAUGAAUGGAGGAAAGGACAAGUGUUGCGAAAAAAUUAAAUUAAAUUUGUAACAACUUUUAAUUUAUAAAACUUUACCACGUUUUAUUCGCAUUCGCAAAAGAUAGUUCAAUUCCUUUACACAUUGCUUUUGCCAAUUUUUACCAUUUUAUUUAACUCGACUUGAUGAAAAAGAACAGCAGAUUUUAAAUUAAUGUUUGUUAAAUGUUAUUCCUUUCCUCCACUUCAUUAAAUAUUAAUUUUAAUUAAGAGUUACGAAUGCAAUGCUACAGAGAACGCCACAUGCAUAUAAAAAUGCGUAGAAUAAAUAGUUUCCACGCCAGAAAAAAGAAACCAAUCAUACAUGUUAAAAUAAAAUAAACAAAA